UCUGUUAUCUGGCCUAUCAUCGUGCAAUAGAAAUCGAGUCCAAAUAGGAUCAUUGGCCACAUACUCAUAGUUUAGGUUCGAUCAUGGGUGUGCAAUCAAGCUCACAUUUUCUUACCACCCUGGAUUAAACAAGCACAUGAAAGGCAUAAUAUGCCGUGAAUCAUAGAAUGUUCCUGAGCUGUCGGGCUCAUAUCUUCACUUCACAAAAACCAUUCAUCCAGACAUUCGGAUCAGAACACAAGCAGAACACAACGCCAUAGCCUCUUUUGACGUUCCUCGAGGGCACCGAAUCGAUUUGAAAGACAACUGAUCUACCUUCAUCCACAAUUUUGUGAAUCUCCAUAGCAGUAGCCAAUCCAGUGGUGUCGAUUCUGCUUCAUCACUAAUUUUCAACAGUUUGCCAAUAGCCCCAGGAGACCGAAAAUGCUAAGUACUCAGUACCACCUCGAACUUGAGGGUUCAUCGUUUCCUGGUGUAGAGGCACUGACAACAUUCAUCCCAUUGUUUGUUUAGGGAUCGGUCAUCUCCAAAACCAACCAAGAGAUUUUAGCCCUAUUUCAACAACUCUUGGACUCAGCUCUUCGACCUUCAAUCCAACGUGCAACUUGUGGGCCACUCCUCUAUGGUUUCCUUCGGAAGAGUCAUGUUCCAAGAAGAAUCUCAUUUUUAUCUCAAUGUUCCACUUAUCUAAUGUUCCAAUCAUAGUCUUUUUCAAGAAUUUGAAUGUUUUUUAACAUGUAGGUAGAUAUGUAUUUUGUACGUCUGUCAUGUCUGCUAACAGGUUUUCUUUGUUAACAAGGUGAAAGGCUUCUUUUUUACCUAUUAUGAGCGCAUUCUUUUCUCUGUCCAUAAUACUAUGGUCCUACUGAAUAAACAAAAACAACAGUCUA